AAAGCAAGAAAAGAAUAAAAAUGAAAAGUCAAAAGAUUUGGAAUAAAAAAUUUUAAAACAACAAAAAAAUUAAAACAAGUAAAUAUGAAAGCAUAUGAAAAAAAAAAAAAAGCAAAAAGAAGGAAAUUUGUGAAGGGAAAAAGUUAUUAAAAAAUUACAAAGUAGAAAAAAAAUAAAAAAAAAAUUUGAACUUUAUAAAAAUUUUUUAAAAAAUAAAUUAAGAGAAAAAAUUAAAUAAAAUACCAAAAAAGGAAAAAAUAAAAAUAAACAAAAAGAAAAAAGUAACAAAGUAAGAAAAUAAAAAAUUAGCGAAUCAAAAAAAUAUAAAAAGACAAAAUGAAUAAAAAUUUCAAAUAUAAAAUGGAAAAAACUUUUAGUUUAGAAUGUAGAAAAAAAAAACGAAAAAAAAAUAUAACAAAUAGAGGACAAAGAUAUAAAAUAUGAAAGAUGAAAAAUAAAAUAAAAGUUAAUAAAAAAUAUAAAUAAAAAUAAAAGAAAGUGCACAAAAAAAGAAGUUUGAGGUUUUAAAAUUAUGAAGAAGAAAUAAAAAAAAGCGUGAACAAAAAGAUUUAAGAAAAAGCAAGAAAAAAAUAAAAAAGGAAAAUACAAAAUACAUAAAAUAAAAUUUGAGAAAAAGAAGAAAAAAUAAAAAAUGAAGAGGCAAAAAUAUGAAAAAAAGAAAAAGAAAAAAAUUUAUAGAAAAUUUUAAAACAAAGGAAAAAGCGAACAAAAAAAAAAUGAAAGCACAUAGAAAAAAGAAGAAAAUUUUGAAAGGGGAAAAAGUUAAUGAAAAUUAUAAAAAUGCCAUAGAAAAUAACCAAGAAUGAUAAAGAAAAAAAGAUAGAAAAAUAAAAAAUUCCAAAACUUUAUAAAAAUUUAUGAAACUAUAAAGAAAGAAAGAAAAAAAAAAUAAAGCACAAAAAAGAAAAAAAAAAAAUACAACAAAAAGUAUAAAAAGUAAGAAAAUAAAAAAGGACAAAAAUUGAAUAAAAAUUUCAAAAAUGAAAGGGAAUGACAAAAUGAAAAAAAAAGUUUAAAAAAUACAAAAAAUUGAAAAACAUGUAAGACCUAACAAUAUAAAAAGUCAGACAAAAAAUUAAAAAAGAGAAAAGUUAAUGCAAAAUAAAAAAAGUAUGAGAAUUUAAAAACGCAAAUAAGAAAUGAAAGGAAAUUUGUGGAAGAAAAAAAGAAAAGCAAGAAAAGAAUAAAAAUGAAAAGACAAAAGAUUUGGAAUAAAAAACAGAAAAAUUAUAAAAUUUUAAAACAACGAAAAAAUUAAAACAAGUAAAAAUGAAAGCAUAUGAAAAAAAAAGCAAAAAGAAGGAAAAUUGUGAAGGGAAAAAGUUAUUAAAAAUUUUCAAAGUAGAAAAAAAAUAAUAAAAUUUUUUUUUGAACUUUAUAAAAAUUAUUUAAAAAUAAAUGAAAAAAUAAAUUAAGAGAAAAAUUAAAUAAAAUACCAAAAAAGGAAAAAGAAAAAAAAAAAAAUGUAACAAAGUAAGAAAAUAAAAAAUUAGCGAAUCAAAAGAAUAUAAAAAGACAAAAUGAAUAAAAAUUUCAAAUAUAAAAUGGAAAAACUUUUAGUUUAGAAUGUACAAAAAAAAAUAUAACAAAUAGAGGACAAAGAUAUAAAAUAUGAAAGAUGAAAAAUAAAGUAAAAGCUAAUAAAAACUAAAAAUAAAAGAAAGUGCACAAAAAAAGAAGUUUGAGGUUUUAAAAUUAUAAAGAAGAAAUAACAAAAAGUGUGAACAAAAAGAUUUAAGAAAAAAAUAAAAAUACAAAAUACAUAAAAUAAAAUUUGAGAAAAAAUAAAAAAAUGAAGAGGUAAAAAAUGAAAGAAAAGAAAAGAAAAAAAUUUAUAGAAAAUUUUAAAACAAAGGAAAAAGUGAACAAAAAAUUACAAAUGAAAGCACAUAGAAAAAAGAAGAAAAAUUUGAAAGGAGAAAAAGUUAAUGAGAAAUUAUAAAAAUGGCAUAGAAAAUAACCAAGAAUGAUAAAAGAAAAAAAGAUAGAAAAAUAAAAAAUUCCAAAACUUUAUAAAAAUUUAUGAAACUAUAAACAAAGAAAGAAAAAAAAGAUAAAAGAUAAAUAAAGCACAAAAAAAGAAAAAAUACAAAAAUACAACAAAAAAAUAUAAAAAGUAAGAAAAUAAAAAGGGACAAAAAUUGAAUAUUCCAUUUCAAAAAUGAAAUGGAAUGACAAAAUGAAAAAAAAAAAGUUUAAAAAAUACAAAAAAUUGAAAAACAUAUAAAACCUAACAAUAUAAAAAGUCAGACAAAAAAUUAAAAAAGAGAAAAGUUAAUGCAAAAUAAAAAAAGUAUGAGAAUUUAAAAACGCAAAUAAUAAAUGAAACGAAAUUUGUGGAAAGAAAAAAGAAAAGCAAGAAAAGAAUAAAAAUGAAAAGUCAAAAGAUUUGGAAUAAAAAAUUUUAAAACAACAAAAAAAUUAAAACAAGUAAAUAUGAAAGCAUAUGAAAAAAAAAAAAAGCAAAAAGAAGGAAAUUUGUGAAGGGAAAAAGUUAUUAAAAAAUUACAAAGUAGAAAAAAAAUAAAAAAAAAAUUUGAACUUUAUAAAAAUUUUUUAAAAAAUAAAUUAAGAGAAAAAAUUAAAUAAAAUACCAAAAAAGGAAAAAAUAAAAAUAAACAAAAAGAAAAAAGUAACAAAGUAAGAAAAUAAAAAUUAGCGAAUCAAAAAAAUAUAAAAAGACAAAAUGAAUAAAAAUUUCAAAUAUAAAAUGGAAAAAACUUUUAGUUUAGAAUGUAGAAAAAAAACGAAAAAAAAAUAUAACAAAUAGAGGACAAAGAUAUAAAAUAUGAAAGAUGAAAAAUAAAAUAAAAGUUAAUAAAAAAUAUAAAUAAAAAUAAAAGAAAGUGCACAAAAAAAGAAGUUUGAGGUUUUAAAAUUAUGAAGAAGAAAUAAAAAAAAGCGUGAACAAAAAGAUUUAAGAAAAAGCAAGAAAAAAAUAAAAAAGGAAAAUACAAAAUACAUAAAAUAAAAUUUGAGAAAAAGAAGAAAAAAUAAAAAAUGAAGAGGCAAAAAUAUGAAAAAAAAGAAAAAGAAAAAAAUUUAUAGAAAAUUUUAAAACAAAGGAAAAAGCGAACAAAAAAAAAAUGAAAGCACAUAGAAAAAAGAAGAAAAUUUUGAAAGGGGAAAAAGUUAAUGGAAAAUUAUAAAAAUGCCAUAGAAAAUAACCAAGAAUGAUAAAGAAAAAAAGAUAGAAAAAUAAAAAAUUCCAAAACUUUAUAAAAAUUUAUGAAACUAUAAAGAAAGAAAGAAAAAAAAUAAAUAAAGCACAAAAAAAGAAAAAAAAACAAAAAUACAACAAAAAGUAUAAAAAGUAAGAAAAUAAAAAAGGACAAAAAUUGAAUAAAAAUUUCAAAAAUGAAAGGGAAUGACAAAAUGAAAAAAAAAAGUUUAAAAAAUACAAAAAAUUGAAAAACAUGUAAGACCUAACAAUAUAAAAAGUCAGACAAAAAAUUAAAAAAGAGAAAAGUUAAUGCAAAAUAAAAAAAGUAUCAGAAUUUAGAAACGCAAAUAAGAAAUGAAAGGAAAUUUGUGGAAGAAAAAAAGAAAAGCAAGAAAAGAAUAAAAAUGAAAAGACAAAAGAUUUGGAAUAAAAAACAGAAAAAUUAUAAAAUUUUAAAACAACGAAAAAAUUAAAACAAGUAAAAAUGAAAGCAUAUGAAAAAAAAAAGCAAAAAGAAGGAAAAUUGUGAAGGGAAAAAUUUAUUAAAAAUUUUCAAAGUAGAAAAAAAAUAAUAAAAUUUUUUUUUUGAACUUUAUAAAAAUUAUUUAAAAAUAAAUGAAAAAAUAAAUUAAGAGAAAAAUUAAAUAAAAUACCAAAAAAGGAAAAAAAAAAAAGAAAAUGUAACAAAGUAAGAAAAUAAAAAAUUAGCGAAUCAAAAGAAUAUAAAAAGACAAAAUGAAUAAAAUUUCAAAUAUAAAAUGGAAAAACUUUUAGUUUAGAAUGUACAAAAAAAAAUAUAACAAAUAGAGGACAAAGAUAUAAAAUAUGAAAGAUGAAAAAUAAAGUAAAAGCUAAUAAAAACUAAAAAGAAAAGAAAGUGCACAAAAAAGAGUUUGAGGUUUUAAAAUUAUAAAGAAGAAAUAACAAAAAGUGUGAACAAAAAGAUUUAAGAAAAAAAUAAAAAUACAAAAUACAUAAAAUAAAAUUUGAGAAAAAAAUAAAAAAAUGAAGAGGUAAAAAAAUGAAAGAAAAGAAAAAGAAAAAAAUUUAUAGAAAAUUUUAAAACAAAGGAAAAAGUGAACAAAAAAUUACAAAUGAAAGCACAUAGAAAAAAGAAGAAAAAUUUGAAAGGAGAAAAAGUUAAUGAGAAAUUAUAAAAAUGGCAUAGAAAAUAACCAAGAAUGAUAAAAGAAAAAAAGAUAGAAAAAUAAAAAAUUCCAAAACUUUAUAAAAAUUUAUGAAACUAUAAACAAAGAAAGAAAAUAAAAAAUAAAAAUAAAAAAAGAUAAAAGAUAAAUAAAGCACAAAAAAAGAAAAAAUACAAAAAUACAACAAAAAAAUAUAAAAAGUAAGAAAAUAAAAAGGGACAAAAAUUGAAUAUUCCAUUUCAAAAAUGAAAUGGAAUGACAAAAUGAAAAAAAAAAAGUUUAAAAAAUACAAAAAAUUGAAAAACAUAUAAAACCUAACAAUAUAAAAAGUCAGACAAAAAAUUAAAAAAGAGAAAAGUUAAUGCAAAAUAAAAAAAGUAUGAGAAUUUAAAAACGCAAAUAAUAAAUGAAACGAAAUUUGUGGAAAGAAAAAAGAAAAGCAAGAAAAGAAUAAAAAUGAAAAGUCAAAAGAUUUGGAAUAAAAAAUUUUAAAACAACAAAAAAAUUAAAACAAGUAAAUAUGAAAGCAUAUGAAAAAAAAAAAAAGCAAAAAGAAGGAAAUUUGUGAAGGGAAAAAGUUAUUAAAAAAUUACAAAGUAGAAAAAAAAUAAAAAAAAAAUUUGAACUUUAUAAAAAUUUUUUAAAAAAUAAAUUAAGAGAAAAAAUUAAAUAAAAUACCAAAAAAGGAAAAAAUAAAAAUAAACAAAAAGAAAAAAGUAACAAAGUAAGAAAAUAAAAAAUUAGCGAAUCAAAAAAAUAUAAAAAGACAAAAUGAAUAAAAAUUUCAAAUAUAAAAUGGAAAAAACUUUUAGUUUAGAAUGUAGAAAAAAAAACGAAAAAAAAAUAUAACAAAUAGAGGACAAAGAUAUAAAAUAUGAAAGAUGAAAAAUAAAAUAAAAGUUAAUAAAAAAUAUAAAUAAAAAUAAAAGAAAGUGCACAAAAAAAGAAGUUUGAGGUUUUAAAAUUAUGAAGAAGAAAUAAAAAAAAGCGUGAACAAAAAGAUUUAAGAAAAAGCAAGAAAAAAAUAAAAAAGGAAAAUACAAAAUACAUAAAAUAAAAUUUGAGAAAAAGAAGAAAAAAAUAAAAAAUGAAGAGGCAAAAAUAUGAAAAAAAAGAAAAAGAAAAAAAUUUAUAGAAAAUUUUAAAACAAAGGAAAAAGCGAACAAAAAAAAAAUGAAAGCACAUAGAAAAAAGAAGAAAAUUUUGAAAGGGGAAAAAGUUAAUGGAAAAUUAUAAAAAUGCCAUAGAAAAUAACCAAGAAUGAUAAAGAAAAAAAGAUAGAAAAAUAAAAAAUUCCAAAACUUUAUAAAAAUUUAUGAAACUAUAAAGAAAGAAAGAAAAAAAUAAAUAAGCACAAAAAGAAAAAAACAAAAUACAACAAAAAGUAUAAAAAGUAAGAAAAUAAAAAAGGACAAAAAUUGAAUAAAAAUUUCAAAAAUGAAAGGGAAUGACAAAAUGAAAAAAAAAAGUUUAAAAAAUACAAAAAAUUGAAAAACAUGUAAGACCUAACAAUAUAAAAAGUCAGACAAAAAAUUAAAAAAGAGAAAAGUUAAUGCAAAAUAAAAAAAGUAUCAGAAUUUAGAAACGCAAAUAAGAAAUGAAAGGAAAUUUGUGGAAGAAAAAAAGAAAAGCAAGAAAAGAAUAAAAAUGAAAAGACAAAAGAUUUGGAAUAAAAAACAGAAAAAUUAUAAAAUUUUAAAACAACGAAAAAAUUAAAACAAGUAAAAAUGAAAGCAUAUGAAAAAAAAAGCAAAAAGAAGGAAAAUUGUGAAGGGAAAAAUUUAUUAAAAAUUUUCAAAGUAGAAAAAAAAAUAAUAAAAUUUUUUUUUUGAACUUUAUAAAAAUUAUUUAAAAAUAAAUGAAAAAAUAAAUUAAGAGAAAAAAUUAAAUAAAAUACCAAAAAAGGAAAAAAGAAAAAUGUAACAAAGUAAGAAAAUAAAAAAUUAGCGAAUCAAAAGAAUAUAAAAAGACAAAAUGAAUAAAAAUUUCAAAUAUAAAAUGGAAAAACUUUUAGUUUAGAAUGUACAAAAAAAAAUAUAACAAAUAGAGGACAAAGAUAUAAAAUAAAGUAAAAGCUAAUAAAAACUAAAAAGAAAAGAAAGUGCACAAAAAAAGAAGUUUGAGGUUUUAAAAUUAUAAAGAAGAAAUAACAAAAAGUGUGAACAAAAAGAUUUAAGAAAAAAAAUAAAAAUACAAAAUACAUAAAAUAAAAUUUGAGAAAAAAAUAAAAAAAUGAAGAGGUAAAAAAAUGAAAGAAAAGAAAAAGAAAAAAAUUUAUAGAAAAUUUUAAAACAAAGGAAAAAGUGAACAAAAAAAUUACAAAUGAAAGCACAUAGAAAAAAGAAGAAAAAUUUGAAAGGAGAAAAAGUUAAUGAGAAAUUAUAAAAAUGGCAUAGAAAAUAACCAAGAAUGAUAAAAGAAAAAAAGAUAGAAAAAUAAAAAAUUCCAAAACUUUAUAAAAAUUUAUGAAACUAUAAACAAAGAAAGAAAAAUAAAAAAGAUAAAAGAUAAAUAAAGCACAAAAAAGAAAAAAUACAAAAUACAAAAAAAUAUAAAAAGUAAGAAAAUAAAAAGGGACAAAAAUUGAAUAUUCCAUUUCAAAAAUGAAAUGGAAUGACAAAAUGAAAAAAAAAAAGUUUAAAAAAUACAAAAAAUUGAAAAACAUAUAAAACCUAACAAUAUAAAAAGUCAGACAAAAAAUUAAAAAAGAGAAAAGUUAAUGCAAAAUAAAAAAAGUAUGAGAAUUUAAAAACGCAAAUAAGAAAUGAAACGAAAUUUGUGGAAAGAAAAAAGAAAAGCAAGAAAAGAAUAAAAAUGAAAAGUCAAAAGAUUUGGAAUAAAAAAUAGAAAAAUAAAAAAUUUUAAAACAACAAAAAAAUUAAAACAAGUAAAUAUGAAAGCAUAUGAAAAAAAAAAAAGCAAAAAGAAGGAAAUUUGUGAAGGGAAAAAGUUAUUAAAAAAUUACAAAGUAGAAAAAAAAAAAAAAAAAUUUUGAACUUUAUAAAAAUUUUUAAAAAAAUAAAAUUAAGAGAAAAAAUUAAAUAAAAUACCAAAAAAGGAAAAAAUAAAAUAAACAAAAGAAAAAGUAACAAAGUAAGAAAAUAAAAAAUUAGCGAAUCAAAAAAAUAUAAAAAGACAAAAUGAAUAAAAAUUUCAAAUAUAAAAUGGAAAAAACUUUUAGUUUAGAAUGUAGAAAAAAAACAAAAAAAAAUAUAACAAAUAGAGGACAAAGAUAUAAAAUAUGAAAGAUGAAAAAUAAAAUAAAAGUUAAUAAAAAAUAUAAAUAAAAAAAGUGCACAAAAAAAGAAGUUUGAGGUUUUAAAAUUAUGAAGAAGAAAUAAAAAAAAGCGUGAACAAAAAGAUUUAAGAAAAAGCAAGAAAAAAAUAAAAAAGGAAAAUACAAAAUACAUAAAAUAAAAUUUGAGAAAAAGAAGAAAAAAAUAAAAAAUGAAGAGGCAAAAAUAUGAAAGAAAAAAAUUUAUAGAAAAUUUUAAAACAAAGGAAAAAGCGAACAAAAAAAAAAUGAAAGCACAUAGAAAAAAGAAGAAAAUUUUGAAAGGGGAAAAAGUUAAUGGAAAAUUAUAAAAAUGCCAUAGAAAAUAACCAAGAAUGAUAAAGAAAAAAAGAUAGAAAAAUAAAAAAUUCCAAAACUUUAUAAAAAUUUAUGAAACUAUAAAGAAAGAAAGAAAAAAAUAAAUAAAGCACAAAAAAAGAAAAAAAAACAAAAAUACAACAAAAAGUAUAAAAAGUAAGAAAAUAAAAAAGGACAAAAAUUGAAUAAAAAUUUCAAAAAUGAAAGGGAAUGACAAAAUGAAAAAAAAAAGUUUAAAAAAUACAAAAAAUUGAAAAACAUGUAAGACCUAACAAUAUAAAAAGUCAGACAAAAAAUUAAAAAAGAGAAAAGUUAAUGCAAAAUAAAAAAAGUAUCAGAAUUUAGAAACGCAAAUAAGAAAUGAAAGGAAAUUUGUGGAAGAAAAAAAGAAAAGCAAGAAAAGAAUAAAAAUGAAAAGACAAAAGAUUUGGAAUAAAAAACAGAAAAAUUAUAAAAUUUUAAAACAACGAAAAAAUUAAAACAAGUAAAAAUGAAAGCAUAUGAAAAAAAAAAGCAAAAAGAAGGAAAAUUGUGAAGGGAAAAAUUUAUUAAAAAUUUUCAAAGUAGAAAAAAAAAUAAAAAUUUUUUUUUGAACUUUAUAAAAAUUAUUUAAAAAUAAAUGAAAAAAUAAAUUAAGAGAAAAAAUUAAAUAAAAUACCAAAAAAGGAAAAAAGAAAAAUGUAACAAAGUAAGAAAAUAAAAAAUUAGCGAAUCAAAAGAAUAUAAAAAGACAAAAUGAAUAAAAAUUUCAAAUAUAAAAUGGAAAAACUUUUAGUUUAGAAUGUACAAAAAAAAUAUAACAAAUAGAGGACAAAGAUAUAAAAUAUGAAAGAUGAAAAAUAAAGUAAAAGCUAAUAAAAACUAAAAAGAAAAGAAAGUGCACAAAAAAAGAAGUUUGAGGUUUUAAAAUUAUAAAGAAGAAAUAACAAAAAGUGUGAACAAAAAGAUUUAAGAAAAAAAAUAAAAAUACAAAAUACAUAAAAUAAAAUUUGAGAAAAAAAUAAAAAAAUGAAGAGGUAAAAAAAUGAAAGAAAAGAAAAAGAAAAAAAUUUAUAGAAAAUUUUAAAACAAAGGAAAAAGUGAACAAAAAAAUUACAAAUGAAAGCACAUAGAAAAAAGAAGAAAAAUUUGAAAGGAGAAAAAGUUAAUGAGAAAUUAUAAAAAUGGCAUAGAAAAUAACCAAGAAUGAUAAAAGAAAAAAAGAUAGAAAAAUAAAAAAUUCCAAAACUUUAUAAAAAUUUAUGAAACUAUAAACAAAGAAAGAAAAAAAAAUAAAAAAGAUAAAAGAUAAAUAAAGCACAAAAAAAGAAAAAUACAAAAAUACAACAAAAAAAUAUAAAAAGUAAGAAAAUAAAAAGGGACAAAAAUUGAAUAUUCCAUUUCAAAAAUGAAAUGGAAUGACAAAAUGAAAAAAAAAAAAGUUUAAAAAAUACAAAAAAUUGAAAAACAUAUAAAACCUAACAAUAUAAAAAGUCAGACAAAAAAUUAAAAAAGAGAAAAGUUAAUGCAAAAUAAAAAAAGUAUGAGAAUUUAAAAACGCAAAUAAUAAAUGAAACGAAAUUUGUGGAAAGAAAAAAGAAAAGCAAGAAAAGAAUAAAAAUGAAAAGUCAAAAGAUUUGGAAUAAAAAAUUUUAAAACAACAAAAAAAUUAAAACAAGUAAAUAUGAAAGCAUAUGAAAAAAAAAAAAGCAAAAAGAAGGAAAUUUGUGAAGGGAAAAAGUUAUUAAAAAAUUACAAAGUAGAAAAAAAUAAAAAAAAAAUUUGAACUUUAUAAAAAUUUUUUAAAAAAUAAAUUAAGAGAAAAAAUUAAAUAAAAUACCAAAAAAGGAAAAAAUAAAAAUAAACAAAAGAAAAAAGUAACAAAGUAAGAAAAUAAAAAAUUAGCGAAUCAAAAAAAUAUAAAAAGACAAAAUGAAUAAAAAUUUCAAAUAUAAAAUGGAAAAAACUUUUAGUUUAGAAUGUAGAAAAAAAAACGAAAAAAAAAUAUAACAAAUAGAGGACAAAGAUAUAAAAUAUGAAAGAUGAAAAAUAAAAUAAAAGUUAAUAAAAAAUAUAAAUAAAAAUAAAAGAAAGUGCACAAAAAAAGAAGUUUGAGGUUUUAAAAUUAUGAAGAAGAAAUAAAAAAAAGCGUGAACAAAAAGAUUUAAGAAAAAGCAAGAAAAAAAUAAAAAAGGAAAAUACAAAAUACAUAAAAUAAAAUUUGAGAAAAAGAAGAAAAAAUAAAAAUGAAGAGGCAAAAAUAUGAAAAAAGAAAAAGAAAAAAAUUUAUAGAAAAUUUUAAAACAAAGGAAAAAGCGAACAAAAAAAAAUGAAAGCACAUAGAAAAAAGAAGAAAAUUUUGAAAGGGGAAAAAGUUAAUGAAAAUUAUAAAAAUGCCAUAGAAAUAACCAAGAAUGAUAAAGAAAAAAAGAUAGAAAAAUAAAAAAUUCCAAAACUUUAUAAAAAUUUAUGAAACUAUAAAGAAAGAAAGAAAAAAUAAAUAAAGCACAAAAAAGAAAAAAAACAAAAUACAACAAAAGUAUAAAAGUAAGAAAAUAAAAAAGGACAAAAAUUGAAUAAAAAUUUCAAAAAUGAAAGGGAAUGACAAAAUGAAAAAAAAAAGUUUAAAAAAUACAAAAAAUUGAAAAACAUGUAAGACCUAACAAUAUAAAAAGUCAGACAAAAAAUUAAAAAAGAGAAAAGUUAAUGCAAAAUAAAAAAAGUAUCAGAAUUUAGAAACGCAAAUAAGAAAUGAAAGGAAAUUUGUGGAAGAAAAAAAGAAAAGCAAGAAAAGAAUAAAAAUGAAAAGACAAAAGAUUUGGAAUAAAAAACAGAAAAAUUAUAAAAUUUUAAAACAACGAAAAAAUUAAAACAAGUAAAAAUGAAAGCAUAUGAAAAAAAAAAGCAAAAAGAAGGAAAAUUGUGAAGGGAAAAAUUUAUUAAAAAUUUUCAAAGUAGAAAAAAAAUAAUAAAAUUUUUUUUUUGAACUUUAUAAAAUUAUUUAAAAAUAAAUGAAAAAAUAAAUUAAGAGAAAAAAUUAAAUAAAAUACCAAAAAAGGAAAAAAGAAAAAUGUAACAAAGUAAGAAAAUAAAAAAUUAGCGAAUCAAAAGAAUAUAAAAAGACAAAAUGAAUAAAAAUUUCAAAUAUAAAAUGGAAAAACUUUUAGUUUAGAAUGUACAAAAAAAAAUAUAACAAAUAGAGGACAAAGAUAUAAAAUAUGAAAGAUGAAAAAUAAAGUAAAAGCUAAUAAAAACUAAAAAGAAAAGAAAGUGCACAAAAAAAGAAGUUUGAGGUUUUAAAAUUAUAAAGAAGAAAUAACAAAAAGUGUGAACAAAAAGAUUUAAGAAAAAAAAUAAAAAUACAAAAUACAUAAAAUAAAAUUUGAGAAAAAAAUAAAAAAAAAUGAAGAGGUAAAAAAAUGAAAGAAAAGAAAAAGAAAAAAAUUUAUAGAAAAUUUUAAAACAAAGGAAAAAGUGAACAAAAAAAUUACAAAUGAAAGCACAUAGAAAAAAGAAGAAAAAUUUGAAAGGAGAAAAAGUUAAUGAGAAAUUAUAAAAAUGGCAUAGAAAAUAACCAAGAAUGAUAAAAGAAAAAAAGAUAGAAAAAUAAAAAAUUCCAAAACUUUAUAAAAAUUUAUGAAACUAUAAACAAAGAAAGAAAAAAAAAAUAAAAAAAAGAUAAAAGAUAAAUAAAGCACAAAAAAAGAAAAAAUACAAAAAUACAACAAAAAAAUAUAAAAAGUAAGAAAAUAAAAAGGGACAAAAAUUGAAUAUUCCAUUUCAAAAAUGAAAUGGAAUGAGAAAAUGAAAAAAAAAAAAAGUUUAAAAAAUACAAAAAAUUGAAAAACAUAUAAAACCUAACAAUAUAAAAAGUCAGACAAAAAAUUAAAAAAGAGAAAAGUUAAUGCAAAAUAAAAAAAGUAUGAGAAUUUAAAAACGCAAAUAAUAAAUGAAACGAAAUUUGUGGAAAGAAAAAAGAAAAGCAAGAAAAGAAUAAAAAUGAAAAGUCAAAAGAUUUGGAAUAAAAAAUUUUAAAACAACAAAAAAAUUAAAACAAGUAAAUAUGAAAGCAUACGAAAAAAAAAAAAAGCAAAAAGAAGGAAAUUUGUGAAGGGAAAAAGUUAUUAAAAAAUUACAAAGUAGAAAAAAAAUAAAAAAAAAAAAUUUGAACUUUAUAAAAAUUUUUAAAAAAUAAAUUAAGAGAAAAAAUUAAAUAAAAUACCAAAAAAGGAAAAAAAAAAAAUAAACAAAAAGAAAAAAGUAACAAAGUAAGAAAAUAAAAAAUUAGCGAAUCAAAAAAAUAUAAAAAGACAAAAUGAAUAAAAAUUUCAAAUAUAAAAUGGAAAAAAACUUUUAGUUUAGAAUGUAGAAAAAAAAAACGAAAAAAAAAAUAUAACAAAUAGAGGACAAAGAUAUAAAAUAUGAAAGAUGAAAAAUAAAAUAAAAGUUAAUAAAAAAUAUAAAUAAAAAUAAAAGAAAGUGCACAAAAAAAGAAGUUUGAGGUUUUAAAAUUAUGAAGAAGAAAUAAAAAAAAGCGUGAACAAAAAGAUUUAAGAAAAAGCAAGAAAAAAAUAAAAAAGGAAAAUACAAAAUACAUAAAAUAAAAUUUGAGAAAAAGAAGGAAAAAAUAAAAAAUGAAGAGGCAAAAAUAUGAAAAAAAAGAAAAAGAAAAAAAUUUAUAGAAAAUUUUAAAACAAAGGAAAAAGCGAACAAAAAAAAAAAAUGAAAGCACAUAGAAAAAAGAAGAAAAUUUUGAAAGGGGAAAAAGUUAAUGGAAAAUUAUAAAAAUGCCAUAGAAAAUAACCAAGAAUGAUAAAGAAAAAAAGAUAGAAAAAUAAAAAAUUCCAAAACUUUAUAAAAAUUUAUGAAACUAUAAAGAAAGAAAGAAAAAAAAAAAACCAAAAAUACAACAAAAAGUAUAAAAAGUAAGAAAAUAAAAAAGGACAAAAAUUGAAUAAAAAUUUCAAAAAUGAAAGGGAAUGACAAAAUGAAAAAAAAAAAGUUUAAAAAAUACAAAAAAUUGAAAAACAUGUAAGACCUAACAAUAUAAAAAGUCAGACAAAAAAUUAAAAAAGAGAAAAGUUAAUGCAAAAUAAAAAAAGUAUCAGAAUUUAGAAACGCAAAUAAGAAAUGAAAGGAAAUUUGUGGAAGAAAAAAAGAAAAGCAAGAAAAGAAUAAAAAUGAAAAGACAAAAGAUUUGGAAUAAAAAACAGAAAAAUUAUAAAAUUUUAAAACAACGAAAAAAUUAAAACAAGUAAAAAUGAAAGCAUAUGAAAAAAAAAGCAAAAAGAAGGAAAAUUGUGAAGGGAAAAAAUUUAUUAAAAAUUUUCAAAGUAGAAAAAAAAAUAAUAAAAUUUUUUUUUGAACUUUAUAAAAAUUAUUUAAAAAUAAAUGAAAAAAUAAAUUAAGAGAAAAAAUUAAAUAAAAUACCAAAAAAGGAAAAAAGAAAAAUAAAAAAAAGAAAAAUGUAACAAAGUAAGAAAAUAAAAAAUUAGCGAAUCAAAAGAAUAUAAAAAGACAAAAUGAAUAAAAAUUUCAAAUAUAAAAUGGAAAAACUUUUAGUUUAGAAUGUACAAAAAAAAAUAUAACAAAUAGAGGACAAAGAUAUAAAAUAUGAAAGAUGAAAAAUAAAGUAAAAGCUAAUAAAAACUAAAAAGAAAAGAAAGUGCACAAAAAAAGAAGUUUGAGGUUUUAAAAUUAUAAAGAAGAAAUAACAAAAAGUGUGAACAAAAAGAUUUAAGAAAAAAAAUAAAAAUACAAAAUACAUAAAAUAAAAUUUGAGAAAAAAAUAAAAAAAAUGAAGAGGUAAAAAAAUGAAAGAAAAGAAAAAGAAAAAAAUUUAUAGAAAAUUUUAAAACAAAGGAAAAAGUGAACAAAAAAAUUACAAAUGAAAGCACAUAGAAAAAAGAAGAAAAAUUUGAAAGGAGAAAAAGUUAAUGAGAAAUUAUAAAAAUGGCAUAGAAAAUAACCAAGAA
rnacentral:lncRNA from 1 species